rnacentral:lncRNA from 1 species
GUGUGCUCCUCAUCUUUAGAUGCCAUCUGAAUCUGAUUGUAGCUUGCAAAGGCAUUCAUAAAGCUCAAAAAUCGAUGUCUCGAAGUCGCAUCAACUAGUUGGUCGAUCUUUGACAAGAAAAAACUAUCCUUCUGACAAGCUUCAUUUAGAUUUGUGUAGUCAAUGCAGCUUCUUUAUUUUUUAUUAGCUUUUUUCACCAUCACUACAUUGACGAGCC